rnacentral:rRNA from 1 species
GACAGAGGGUGCAAACGUUGUUCGGAAUUACUGGGCGUAAAGCGCGUGUAGGCGGCCAACUAAGUCGGGCGUGAAAUCCCACGGCUCAACCGUGGAAGUGCACCCGAAACUGGAUGGCUAGAGUCCUGGAGAGGAAGGUGGAAUGCUUGGUGUAGAGGUGAAAUUCGUAGAUAUCAAGCGGAACACCGGUGGCGAAGGCGGCCUUCUGGACAGUGACUGACGCUGAGACGCGAAAGCGUGGGGAGCAAACAGGG